rnacentral:rRNA from 1 species
GAUGAACGCUAGCGGCAGGCUUAAUACAUGCAAGUCGAGGGGUAACAGUUCCGAGCAAUCGGAAGCUGACGACCGGCGCACGGGUGCGUAACGCGUAUGCAACCUACCUCUAACUGGGGAAUAGCCCCGAGAAAUCGGGAUUAAUACCCCAUAACAUUCAUCAUUCGCAUGUUUGAUGAAUUAAAGUUCCGACGGUUAGAGAUGGGCAUGCGUGACAUUAGCUAGUUGGUGAGGUAACGGCUCACCAAGGCUUCGAUGUCUAGGGGUUCUGAGAGGAUUAACCCCCACACUGGUACUGAGACACGGACCAGACUCCUACGGGAGGCUG